GACAGAGGGUGCGAACGUUGUUCGGAAUUACUGGGCGUAAAGCGCGUGUAGGCGGUUGUUCAAGUCGGGUGUGAAAGCCUUGAGCUCAACUCAAGAAAUGCACUCGAUACUGGAUGACUUGAGGACCGGAGAGGAUAGUGGAAUUCCCAGUGUAGUGGUGAAAUACGUAGAGAUUGGGAAGAACACCAGUGGCGAAGGCGGCUAUCUGGACGGUUUCUGACGCUAAGACGCGAAAGCGUGGGGAGCAAACAGG
rnacentral:rRNA from 1 species